rnacentral:lncRNA from 13 species
AAACAAUUUAUAUUUGCUCAGUGAAUCUACAUUUAAUGUAUGCUCUUCUUUAACUCUCUCUUCUUUUUCUUCCACAAAUUGAAACAAUUGCAUUUUGGAAAUUUGAAAUACUUUUGAGGGGAAUAGUGUAAGAACACCGAAGAGCUUAAUUGUUUAGAUAAAAACAAUUUCUGUGUAAUAAAUAAAUCUCUGCAGGUAUGAUCUGGGGGUGUAAUCAGAGCAAGCAGAAGCUCCGUUCCCUUUCCGACGCUGGAGAAAGCAUGAGUUCCCAGGGAUUUGAAGUCCUAGAAAGAAGUUGAGCUCUGCCACUCUGGCUUGUCGUUGAAUGUCACCCAGACAGAGCUAGAUGAUGACAUUUUAACAGACUUGACAACUGUGGAUUUGACUUAAAGGUGAGUCUGUCUUUGUUUUAUCACAGAUUCUACAUCUGCAAGACUAAGUUGAAAAUAUUGCCUGUUUAUAUUGUUCAUGCUUCUAGAAUCCAUGGAAUAAGUGAGUUUGGAUCUAAAACAACCACUAAUCACAG